UGGCAGUCAGAGGCGAUGAAGGACGUGCUAAUCUGCGAUAAGCGCCGGUAAGGUGAUAUGAACCGUUAUAACCGGCGAUUUCCGAAUGGGGAAACCCAGUGUGAUUCGUCACACUAUCAUUAACUGAAUCCAUAGGUUAAUGAGGCGAACCGGGGGAACUGAAACAUCUAAGUACCCCGAGGAAAAGAAAUCAACCGAGAUUCCCCCAGUAGCGGCGAGCGAACGGGGAGGAGCCCAGAGCCUGAAUCAGCAUGUGUGUUAGUGGAAGCGUCUGGAAAGGCGCGCGAUACAGGGUGACAGCCCCGUACACAAAAGCGCAUGUGCUGUGAGCUCGAUGAGUAGGGCGGGACACGUGGUAUCCUGUCUGAAUAUGGGGGGACCAUCCUCCAAGGCUAAAUACUCCUGACUGACCGAUAGUGAACCAGUACCGUGAGGGAAAGGCGAAAAGAACCCCGGCGAGGGGAGUGAAAAAGAACCUGAAACCGU
rnacentral:rRNA from 1 species